rnacentral:rRNA from 1 species
UACGGAGGGGGCUAGCGUUGUUCGGAAUUACUGGGCGUAAAGCGCGCGUAGGCGGCUUUGUAAGUUAGAGGUGAAAGCCCGGAGCUUAACUCCGGAAUUGCCUUUAAGACUGCAUCGCUUGAAUCAUGGAGAGGUGAGUGGAAUUCCGAGUGUAGAGGUGAAAUUCGUAGAUAUUCGGAAGAACACCAGUGGCGAAGGCGACUCACUGGACAUGUAUUGACGCUGAGGUGCGAAAGCGUGGGGAGCAAACAGG